rnacentral:rRNA from 1 species
AGAGUUUGAUCAUGGCUCAGAGUGAACGUUGGCGGCGAGCCUGACACAUGCAAGUCGAACGAUUCCCGAAUAGCUUACUAUUCGGGAAGAGUAGCGAACGGGUGAGUAACACGUGAGUAAUCACCCCUCGAGUGAGGAAUAAUUCCGCGAAAGCGGGACUAAUACCGCAUAAUACUCUGGGGCAUAAGCCUUUAGAGUCAAAGCUUUCCGAGCAAUCGGAUGGCGCUUGAGGACGAGCUCGCGGCCUAUUAGCUAGUUGGUGGGGUAAUGGCCUACCAAGGUUAUGAUGGGUAGCCGGCUUGAGAGGGUGUACGGCCACACUGGGACUGAGACACGGCCCAGACUCCUACGGGAGGCAGC